CCAGGUUAUCGACUAGUCGCUCUGUACUUAAGGCUAUUAAUGAUGGAAUUAGCUUGAUGGUCAUAAGUACAGAGAGGAAAGUCCGGGCAACAUAAGGAAGGGCAGUUGCUAACAGCAACCAGAGGUAACUCUAGGGAAAGUGCCACAGAAACAAGACGGCCUCGUAUCCUUUGCUGAUAUCGGUUAUAUAUUGAGUAGAAUACCAGUAAUGGAUACGAGGUAAAGUUGAAAAGAGUAGGGUAAGAGCCUACAGUUGAUUAUGGCGACAUAACCAAAAGGUAAACCCUGUCUGUUGCAAGGUAGCGUAUCAUAUUGUGCGUUUUGUACAUUAGUAUCCUGCUAGAUAUGCGCGUGAAACCCGCUUGAUCUGCAAAGCAAUUUGUAGACUAGAUAGAUGACUAGUAAUAACAGAACCCGGCUUAUAGAUAGGCUGGCAUA
rnacentral:RNase_P_RNA from 1 species